AAAGCAUGGGGAGCGAACAGGAUUAGACACCUUGGUAGUCCAUGCCGUAAACGAUGAGUGUUCGCCCUUGGUCUACGCGGAAUAGGGGCCCAGCUAACGUGUGAAACACUC
rnacentral:ncRNA from 1 species